CAGUCGCCGCGGGAAUACGUAGGGUGCAAGCGUUAAUCGGAAUUACUGGGCGUAAAGCGUGCGCAGGCGGUUCGCUAAGACAGAUGUGAAAUCCCCGGGCUUAACCUGGGAACUGCAUUUGUGACUGGCGGGCUAGAGUAUGGCAGAGGGGGGUAGAAUUCCACGUGUAGCAGUGAAAUGCGUAGAGAUGUGGAGGAAUACCGAUGGCGAAGGCAGCCCCCUGGGCCAAUACUGACGCUCCUGCACGAAAGCGUGGGGAGCAAACAGGAUUAGAUACCCGUGUAGUCCCUGUCUCUUAUAC
rnacentral:rRNA from 1 species